rnacentral:rRNA from 1 species
CGGCCGGCGACCGGCGCACGGGUGAGUAACACGUAUGCAACCUGCCCUCUUCAGGGGGACAACCUUCCGAAAGGGAGGCUAAUCCCGCGUAUAUCGGUUUCGGGCAUCCGAGAUCGAGGAAAGAUUCAUCGGAAGAGGAUGGGCAUGCGGCGCAUUAGCUAGACGGCGGGGUAACGGCCCACCGUGGCGACGAUGCGUAGGGGUUCUGAGAGGAAGGUCCCCCACACUGGUACUGAGACACGGACCAGACUCCUACGGGAGGCAGCAG